rnacentral:rRNA from 1 species
GGUCGACGAUUGAGAGUUUGAUCCUGGCUCAGGAUGAACGCUGGCGGCGUGCCUAAUACAUGCAAGUCGAGCGGUAAGGCUUUCACAGUUUGCUCAAACGAAAAGGGGUGAACACCCGGUAGGGCUGUUCACAUCUAAAUCGAAGAGAUGAACGUUCAACCUAAAAUAUAUCUAAAAGAGAGUAUGGAGGGUUAUAACAGUUUGAGCAAAGCGUGAAAGUACACGAGCGGCGGACGGCAGAGUAACGCGUAGGAACGUACCCCAAAGUGAGGGAUAAGCACCAGAAAUGGUGUCUAAUACCGCAUAUUAUCUUCGGAUCAAAGCUUUAAGCGCUUUGGGAGCGGCCUGCGUAUGAUUAGCUUGUUGGUGAGGUAAAAGCUCACCAAGGCGACGAUCAUUAGCUGGUCUGAGAGGAUGAUCAGCCUGACUGGGACUGAGAACGGCCCAGACUCCUACGGGAGGCAGCAGUAGGGAAUUUUCCACAAUGGGGGCAACCCUGAUGGAGCAACGCCGCGUGCAGGAUGAAGGCCUUCGGGUUGUAAACUGCUUUUAUGUGCGAAGAAUAUGACGGUAACACAUGAAUAAGGACCUGCUAACUACGUGCCAGCAGCCGCGGUCAAACGUAGGGUCCAAGCGUUAUCCGGAAUUACUGGGCGUAAAGAGUUGCGUAGGUGGUUUGUCAAGCGAGUAGUGAAAUGACGAGGCUCAACCUCGUGUCCAUUGCUUGAACUGGCAGACUUGAGAGCGAGAGAGGUAACUGGAAUUUCUAGUGUAGGAGUGAAAUCCGUAGAUAUUAGAAGGAACACCGAUGGCGUAGGCAGGUUACUGGCUCGUUUCUGACACUAAGGCACGAAAGCGUGGGUAGCAAACGGGAUUAGAUACCCCGGUAGUCCACGCCGUAAACGAUGCUUGCUAGCUGUUAUUCGUAUCGACCCGAGUAGUAGCGAAGCUAACGCGUUAAGCAAGCCGCCUGGGGAGUACGGUCGCAAGAUUAAAACUCAAAGGAAUUGACGGGGACCCGCACAAGCGGUGGAGCGUGUUGUUUAAUUCGAUGGUAAGCGAAGAACCUUACCCAGGCUUGACAUCCUGCCAAGAUUUCCGAAAGGAAAUUGUGCCUUCGGGCCGCAGUGACAGGUGUUGCAUGGCCGUCGUCAGCUCGUGUCGUGAGAUGUUUGGUUAAGUCCAUCAACGAGCGCAACCCUUAUGAUUAGUUGUAUUUUUCUAAUCAGACUGCCUCGGUAACGGGGAGGAAGGAGGGGAUGAUGUCAGGUCAGUAUUACCCUUACGUCUGGGGCUACAAACACGCUACAAUGGCCGGUACAAAGGGCAGCCAAGCAGUAAUGCGGAGCAAAUCCCAUCAAAGCCGGUCCCAGUUCGGAUUGGGGGCUGAAACUCGCCCCCAUGAAGUCGGAAUCGCUAGUAACGGUAAGUCAGCACAUUACCGUGAAUACGUUCUCGGGUCUUGUACACACCGCCCGUCAAACCAUGAAAGUCGCCAAUACCUGACGUGUGAGCUUUGCCUCGCCCUAAGGUAGGGGAGAUGAUUGGGGUUAAGUCGUAACAAGGUAGCCGUAAAUCUCUAGAGGAUCCC